UAUCUCUGUAGAGUCUGCAUAUCAAUAAGCGGAGGAAAAGAAACUAACAAGGAUUCCCUUAGUAACGGCGAGUGAAGCGGGAAGAGCUCAAAUUUGAAAUCUUCAAGGUUCUACCUUGACGAAUUGUAGUUUAAAGAAGUGUUUUCUGUUAGAUGAGUAGCAAAAGUUCCUUGGAAUGGGACAUCAUAGAGGGUGAGAAUCCCGUAUUUGGUUAUUCAUCCUAGCUUUGUGAUACACUUUCAAAGAGUCGGAUUGUUUGGGAAUGCAGUCCAAAAUGGGUGGUAAAUUUCAUCUAAAGCUAAAUAUUGGCGAGAGACCGAUAGCGAACAAGUACCGUGAGGGAAAGAUGAAAAGAACUUUGAAAAGAGAGUUAAACAGUACGUGAAAUUGUCAAAAGGGAAGCGUUUGACACCAGUGUUGUUUUUCCGAAAAUCAAUUACGAAUGGCUUGAUUUUGUGUUGUAUUGACCUUAUCAGCUUUCUUCACUUUUUUCGAGUCUUUCUUAAUGCACUUUUCGGUUAACAAGUCAACAUCAAUUUCUUUUGUUGUAAAAGAGUAUUCGGAAGGUGGCUUUCUUUUCGGAGAAAGUGUUUAUAGCCCUAUACUUCUACAAUCGGAGAGAUUGAGGUCUGCAGCGUAGAUCCUUCGGGGUUAGAUACACUUGUGCUAAGUUGUAGCUUUUCAUAGACAGCUUGUUGACUAUGUUUAGUCAUGCGGCUUACUCGCUUGUGCUAUUUUACCUACGCUUAGGAUGUUGACUGAUAUGUAGUCGUA
rnacentral:rRNA from 1 species